UUUCUGUACAGACAGAGGCAUAAGUCGACGUUGUUCUCUGACUAAAGAAGAACUAGAACGCUGCGUGUCUGACGCCGUAAGCGAGGUCGGACCAUCUUGCAUCUUCAGAUCGUCAAAAGGCAAGAAGAAGGCAACGGCUACACAAUAAACUGCAAAGAUCUUCAUCUUUAGAGAUGUCCACAACUUUGAACGACGAACAAAAGAAGACGUACGCUAGUGCCACGAAACUGGAAUUGAUGUCGUCAGAAGUCUCUGAAAAUAGCAGUGAUAACGAGCCACCCUCUGAGGGAGCCACCACUGCUGGACGUUCACAACUCCUGAUCCGACCUCUUCCGUGGAGAGCCAUUGAAACAACAAAGGUGUUUGAGUUUUUGGACAGAAAGUACGCCAGAAGGCAGACUCAGAGAGGAACGGUACCAAGAGUAAACGAAUCGAGCUCCAUCUACCAGAACACGUCCGGGAAUGACAUUGUGCCAGAGUGGGCUCUAGAAGACUUCUGCUAAUUACAAUACGUUUGAUUUUAAUACAUGUCAAAGAACAUGGAUAUAUAGAGCUAGAUCAUUCAAAUUUGCUGUUAGCAUUGUUGUCCAU